CUGUGAGGCUGAUGUGUAGGCAAAUCCGCACAUCAUUAAGGCUGGGCUGUGAUGGGGAGCGAAAUUUGCAGUAGCGAAGGUCAUGAGUUCAGGCUGCCAAGAAAAGCCUCUAGCCAGGUGAAGGUGCCCGUACCGCAAACCGACACAGGUAGGCGAGCAGAGUAUGCUAAGGCGCUCGGAAGAACUCUCGUUAAGGAACUCGGCAAAAUGACCCCGUAACUUCGGGAGAAGGGGUGCCUCGGUAGGGUGAAUAGCCCGAGGGGGCCGCAGUGAAAAGGCCCAAGCGACUGUUUAGCAAAAACACAGGUCUGUGCGAAGCCGUAAGGCGAAGUAUACGGGCUGACGCCUGCCCGGUGCUGGAAGGUUAAGGGGAGUGGUUAGCCGCAAGGCGAAGCUAUGAACCGAAGCCCCAGUAAACGGCGGCCGUAACGAUAACGGUCCUAAGGUAGCGAAAUUCCUUGUCAGGUAAAUUCUGACCCGCACGAAUGGCGUAACGACUUGGGCGCUGUCUCAACGAGAGAUCCGGUGAAAUUUUAAUACCUGUGAAGAUGCAGGUUACCCGCGACAAGACGGAAAGACCCCAUGGAGCUUUACUGCAGCUUGAUAUUGGACUUUGGUACGAUCUGUACAGGAUAGGUGGGAGCCUUGGAAGCCGGAGCGCCAGCUUCGGCGGAGGCAUCGUUGGGAUACCACCCUGAUCGUAUCGGAGUUCUAACCUGGUACCGUGAUCCGGUACAGGGACCGUGUCAGGUGGGCAGUUUGACUGGGGCGGUCGCCUCCUAAAAUGUAACGGAGGCGCCCAAAGGUUCCCUCAGAAUGGUUGGAAAUCAUUCGUAGCGUGCAAAGGCAUAAGGGAGCUUGACUGCGAGACCUACAAGUCGAGCAGGGACGAAAGUCGGGCUUAGUGAUCCGGUGGUACCGCAUGGAAGGGCCAUCGCUCAACGGAUAAAAGCUACCCUGGGGAUAACAGGCUUAUCUCCCCCAAGAGUCCACAUCGACGGGGAGGUUUGGCACCUCGAUGUCGGCUCAUCGCAUCCUGGGGCUGAAGUAGGUCCCAAGGGUUGGGCUGUUCGCCCAUUAAAGCGGUACGCGAGCUGGGUUCAGAACGUCGUGAGACAGUUCGGUCCCUAUCUGUCGUGGGCGUAGGAAAUUUGAGAGGAGCUGUCCUUAGUACGAGAGGACCGGGAUGGACGCACCGCUGGUGUACCAGUUGUUCCGCCAGGAGCAUAGCUGGGUAGCUACGUGCGGACGGGAUAAGCGCUGAAAGCAUCUAAGCGUGAAGCCCCCCUCAAGAUGAGAUUUCCCAGUAUGUAAGACCCCUGGAAGACGACCAGGUUGAUAGGUUCGAGGUGGAAGCGCAGCAAUGCGUGGAGCUGACGAAUACUAAUCGGUCGAGGGCUUAUCC
rnacentral:rRNA from 1 species